rfam:Picea glauca, whole genome shotgun sequence.
AUGUACAUUCUUAUAGCUUAUUGUUAAUGCACCCAAUUCCAUUAGUAAUACAAAGUUAAGAGUGCUCGAGCUAGAGUAAUACUAGGAUGGGUGACUACCCGAGAAUUCCUAGUGUUUUACAUG